rnacentral:rRNA from 1 species
GCUUAGCCAUAAACACAGAUAAUAAUAAUACAAUAUUAUCCGCCAGAGAACUACAAGCGAAAAGCUAGAAACUCCAAGGACUUGGCGGUGCUUCAAAUCAACCUAGAGGAGCCUGUCCUAUAAUCGAUACCCCACGCUUUACCUUACCACCCCUAGCCAGUCAGCCUAUAUACCGCCGUCGAAAGCCUACCUUAUGAAAGAAGUAAAGUAAGCAAAAAAGUUAAUAACUAACACGUCAGGUCAAGGUGUAGCACACGAGGUGGCAGAGAUGGGCUACAUUAUCUAAACAACACACGAAUAGUAUAUUGAAAAAUAUGCCUGAAGGCGGAUUUAGUAGUAAAACAAACAAGAAAACUUGUCUAAAACCUGCUCUGAAGCGCGCACACACCGCCCGUCA